AUUGAACGCUGGCGGCAGGCCUAACACAUGCAAGUCGAGCGCGCGGCGGACGCGUGAGUAAUGUAUGUGGACUGCCCCAUAUAGGGGGAUAUCUCCUCGAAACGCUAUCUCAUACCCCAUACUCUCGCAUUACCCAUAUGGGAUUAGCUAGUAGGUGGGGUAAUGGCUCACCUAGGCGACGAUCUCUAGCUGGUCUGAGAGGAUGAUCAGCCACACUGGGACUGAGACACGGCCCAGACUCCUACGGAGGCAGCAGUGGGGAAUAUUGCACAAUGGGCGCAAGCCUGAUGCAGCCAUGCCGCGUGUAUGAAGAAGGCCCUAGGGUUGUAAAGUACUUUCAGUCGGGAGGCGUUACCGACAGAAGAAGCACCGGCUAACUCCGUGCCAGCAGCCGCGGUAAUUC
rnacentral:rRNA from 1 species